UCUCGGAGCGGGGACUGGGGGCGUCGGGGCCAUGAUUCUCGGAGCGGGGACUGGGGGCGUCGGGGCCAUGAUUCUCGGAGCGUGGACUGGGGGCGUCGGGGCCAUGAUUCUCGGAGCGUGGACUGGGGGCGUCGGGGCCAUGAUUCUCGGAGCGGGGACUGGCCGAGUCGGGGUCGGGGCCGAGAGUCUCGGAGCGGGGACUGGCCGAGUCGGGGUCGGAGCCGAGAGUCUCGGAGCGGGGACUGGCCGAGUCGGGGUCGGAGCCGAGAGUCGGGGAACGGGAGAGCGCUGCGGCGGCCCAGCGGGAACGGGAGAGCGCUGCGGCGGCCCAGCGGGAACGGGAGAGCGCUGCGGCGGCCCAGCGGGAACGGGAGAGCGCUGCGGCGGCCCAGCGGGAACGGGAGAGCGCUUCUUCCGCUUGCUCCUCCUUGGGUUAAUGAGGUCCCGGAGCUCGAGGCAGGCGAGCUGAUAGCUCCUGGGACCAAAAACAAAAUUCGUUUUCCGCUGCCAGAAGGGACUUCUUACGUCCAGGUAGUCCGGACCGUAGUCUGGCAGCGGGUCUGCUGAGCCCUUCUUUGGUCGCGUCAUUCUGUCAAGGUUGAGGGUGGAAGGCAGGACUCAAACGCAGACUUUUCCAAAACAAAAGACUUUAAUAAUCAAAAGGUCCAAAAUCCAAAAGGCCAAGGGGCAAAAACACACAAGCAUGAACCUACGGGGGCGAAAGACAAGAACAGGACAUGGGUGGCAAAAGACAAUGACGCGACAAGUGACACAAGAGACACACGGCUUAAAUACACUAGGGAGGUGCAGGUGAUUGGACACAGGUGUAAACUAUUAAGACGAUCACAGGGGAUGACGGGACAAGGCAGGAAGUGAAGUUACCCGGGGACACAAGUGGCAGAAAACUACAAAAUAUAACAUGAAGUAAACCACACCGUGACAGUACCCCCCCCUUAAGGGCCGACUUCCAGGCGGCUCACACUAGAGCGAAACAAGGGGUGGGGGGGAGGGAAACCAGAGACAAUGGUCGGGCCACCCAGGAAACUCUGGCGGGCGGCCCGGCGGGCGGCCAGGCGACCGGGGAGCCUCUGGGGGUCGGCCUGGCGGAUAGGCACACUGCCGGGGAGCCUCCGGUGGUCGGCCCGGCGGACGGUCAUUUGGCCGGCUCCGGAACGUCUCUGGCAUGGCAGGCUCGGGGACACGGGAACCCUCCGGGGGGGUCGGCGGCGGCUCGAGUUCGGGGACACGGAACACGUCAGCAGUAGUCGGCGGCCGCUCCAGCUCGGGGACACGGAACACGUCCGCAGCAGUCGGCGGCCGCUCCAGCUCGGGGACACGGAACACGUCCGCAGCAGUCGGCGGCGGCUCCAGCUCGGGGACACGGAACACGUCCGCAGCAGUCGGCGGC
ensembl:lncRNA